GACGAACGCUGGCGGCGUGCUUAACACAUGCAAGUCGAGCGGAGCGGCGAACGGGUGAGUAACGCGUGAGUAACUGCCCCCCUCUCUGGGAUAACAGUUGGAAACGGCUGCUAAUACCGCCUAAUCAGAUGAGCCUAGGUCGGAUUAGCUAGUUGGUGGGGUAAAGGCCUACCAAGGCGACGAUCCGUAACUGGUCGGAGAGGAUGAUCAGUCACCAUGGACUGAGACAAGGUCCAGACUCCUACGGGAGGCAGUAGUGGGGAAUAUUGCACAAUGGGGGAAACCCUGAUGCAGCAACGCCGCGUGCGGGAUGACGGCCUUCGGGUUGUAAACCGCGUUCAGCCAUGACGCGGUAGUGGCAGAAGAAGCACCGGCUAACUACGUGCCAGCAGCCGCGGUAAUAC
rnacentral:rRNA from 1 species